rnacentral:rRNA from 1 species
GGAACGAACUUCGGGUUAGUGGCGGACGGGUGAGUAACGCGUGAGAAUCUGCCCUCAGGAGGGGGAUAACGGUUGGAAACGACCGCUAAUACCCCAUAUGCCGAGAGGUGAAAUGAAUUUCGCCUGAGGAUGAGCUCGCGUCUGAUUAGUUAGUUGGUGGGGUAAUGGCCUACCAAGACAUCGAUCAGUAGCUGGUCUGAGAGGAUGAUCAGCCACACUGGGACUGAGACACGGCCCAGACUCCUACGGGAGGCAGCAGUGGGGAAUAUUGGACAAUGGGCGCAAGCCUGAUCCAGCCAUACCGCGUGUGUGAAGAAGGCCCUAGGGUUGUAAAGCACUUUAAGUUGGGAAGAAAAGUUAUUGGUUAAUAUCCAAUAGCCGUGACAUUACCAUCAGAAUAAGGACCGGCUAAUUCCGUGCCAGCAGCCGCGGUAAUACGGAAGGUCCAAGCGUUAUCCGGAAUUAUAGGGUUUAAAGGGUCCGCAGGCUGUUUGUUAAGUCAGAGGUGAAAUCCUACCGCUCAACGGUAGAACUGCCUUUGAUACUGGCAAACUUGAGUUAUUGUGAAGUGGUUAGAAUGUGUGGUGUAGCGGUGCAAUGCAUAGAUAUCACACAGAAUACCAAUUGCGAAGGCAGAUCACUAACCAUAUUCUGACGCUCAGGAACGACAGCGUGGGUAGCGAACAGGAUUAGAUACCUGGUAGUCACGCCGAUAACGAUGAUACUAGCUGUAUUCUACUCCGGUCGAU